rnacentral:rRNA from 1 species
GAUGAACGCUGGCGGCGUGCCUAAUACAUGCAAGUCGAGCGAACGGACGAGAAGCUUGCUUCUCUGAUGUUAGCGGCGGACGGGUUAGUAACACGUGGAUAACCUACCUAUAAGACUGGGAUAACUUCGGGAAACCGGAGCUAAUACCGGAUAAUAUUUUGAACCGCAUGGUUCAAAAGUGAAAGACGGUCUUGCUGUCACUUAUAGAUGGAUCCGCGCUGCAUUAGCUAGUUGGUAAGGUAACGGCUUACCAAGGCAACGAUGCAUAGCCGACCUGAGAGGGUGAUCGGCCACACUGGAACUGAGACACGGUCCAGACUCCUACGGGAGGCAGCAGUAGGGAAUCUUCCGCAAUGGGCGAAAGCCUGACGGAGCAACGCCGCGUGAGUGAUGAAGGUCUUCGGAUCGUAAAACUCUGUUAUUAGGGAAGAACAUAUGUGUAAGUAACUGUGCACAUCUUGACGGUACCUAAUCAGAAAGCCACGGCUAACUACGUG